rnacentral:rRNA from 1 species
UUUGGCUCAGGAGAACGCUGGCGGCAGGCCUAACACAUGCAAGUCGAGCGGCAGCGGGAAAGUAGCUUGCUACUUUUGCCGGCGAGCGGCGGACGGGUGAGUAAUGCCUGGGAAAUUGCCCAGUCGAGGGGGAUAACAGUUGGAAACGACUGCUAAUACCGCAUACGCCCUACGGGGGAAAGCAGGGGACCUUCGGGCCUUGCGCGAUUGGAUAUGCCCAGGUGGGAUUAGCUAGUUGGUGAGGUAAUGGCUCACCAAGGCGACGAUCCCUAGCUGGUCUGAGAGGAUGAUCAGCCACACUGGAACUGAGACACGGUCCAGACUCCUACGGGAGGCAGCAGUAGGAA